AUCCCAUCCGAUCACCGAAGUUAAGCAACGUCAAGCCUGUUUAGUACCGAGAUGGGUGACCGCCUAGGAAUACCAGAUGCUGUAA